UGGGGAAUAUUGCACAAUGGGGCGAAAGCCUGAUGCAGCAACGCUGCGUGAGGGAAGACGGUUUUCGGAUUGUAAACCUCUGUUUUCGGUGACGAAGAAUGACGGUAACCGAGUAGGAAGCCACGGCUAACUACGUGCCAGCAGCCGCGGUAAUACGUAGGUGGCAAGCGUUAUCCGGAAUUACUGGGUGUAAAGGGAGCGCAGGCGGGAUAGCAAGUCAGCGGUGAAAAUUAUGGGCUCAACCCAUAAACUGCCGUUGAAACUGUUAUUCUUGAGUGGG
rnacentral:rRNA from 1 species